rnacentral:rRNA from 1 species
UACCAGCACCCCGAGUGGUCGGGACGUUUAUUGGGCCUAAAGCAUCCGUAGCCGGUUCUGCAAGUCUUCCGUUAAAUCCACCUGCUCAACAGAUGGGCUGCGGAGGAUACUACAGGGCUAGGAGGCGGGAGAGGCAAGCGGUACUCAGUGGGUAGGGGUAAAAUCCUCUGAUCCACUGAAGACCACCAGUGGCGAAGGCGGCUUGCCAGAACGCGCUCGACGGUGAGGGAUGAAAGCUGGGGGAGCAAACCGG